CCUACGGGCGGCAGCAGUGAGGAAUAUUGGUCAAUGGACGAGAGUCUGAACCAGCCAAGUAGCGUGAAGGAUGACUGCCCUAUGGGUUGUAAACCUCUUUUAUCUGGGAAUAAAAUGUUCCACGUGUGGGCUUUUGUAUGUACCAUAUGAAUAAGCAUCGGCUAACUCCGUGCCAGCAGCCGCGGUAAUACGGAGGAUCCGAGCGUUAUCCGGAUUUAUUGGGUUUAAAGGGAGCGUAGGUGGACUGUUAAGUCAGUUGUGAAAGUUUGCGGCUCAACCCUAAAAUUGCAGUUGAAACUGGCAGUCUUGAGGACAGUGGAGAUGAGCGGAAUUCGUGGUGUAGCGGUGAAAUGCUAAGAUAUCACGAAGAACUCCGAUUGCGAAGGCAAUUCACUGGACGGCAACUGACACUGAGGCUCGAAAGUGUGGGUAUCAAACAGGAUUAGGUACCCCUAGUAGUC
rnacentral:rRNA from 1 species